CCUUUCCUGUGCGCGGUGUUGCGUCUCGUCUGCAUUUGCUGUUGGAGAGAGAGGAUGGACUGCAGCUGCCCGAUGCAUCGUGCAUGCCUCACCUCCAUGUGCAGUUGGAGAGAGAGAUGGACUUGCGCCUAUGACGCACUGGUUGACGCCGUCCGCGAGCCCGGGUGCACGGUGGCGCUCGCGGACCUCCACCGCUGCCUCGACGCUUUAGCGAGUCAUGCGACCGAGCCGAGGGCCUCGUCCAGGUGGCCGCCGCCGGACUCGGCCCCGCCGCCUCCCGCCACGACGAGCUGUUCCGCGCGCUCACGGACCUCCACCGCUGCCUCGACGCCUUCAGCGAGUCCCGCGACCGAGCCGAGGGCCUCGUCCAUGCGGCGGCCGCCGGCCUCGACCCCGCCGCCUCUCGCCAUGACAAGCUGUUCCGUGUCGUGCGCAUGGUCGAAAAGGAUCUCCGGGCCUCCGCAGCCGGCCGGGAGGAGAACAAGAUGGAAGAGAAGAAGAAUCGCCCUCCGACCAUGCCGCUGGCGGCCGAGGACAAAUAGCCCAAUCGAUCUACCUCGUCUCCUAUUCAGGUGAUGUUCAUCGUUCUUGUUUUUUCCAUGUGAUGUUCAUCGUUCCUCUUAUUUUCUCGGUUGAUGUGCUAAUCGUGUUAGUCAUCUAAAAGAUGAAAGAAACUGUGACGGGAAAGGAGAGAUGGACUGGGAUAUUUUGCCUUGGUGUGCCGCAUGGUGGCCGAGAUGCGGUAGCUUCAUGCUCUGUUCCGAUGGGCCUCCUCUGCUCGAUGGUUGCCGCUGGUUGAGUUUGGUACGGUUUCCUGUUGUCGCUUGCGUCGAGCCCUAGGUCUGUCUCUCCUUCUCAUUGAUCCUACUUCUCCUGUCAUUGGCGCUUCUUCUUCUCGUCCAUCCUGCUGCUUACCCAACGUGCUUCUGCUUGCUGCCUCGGGUCGUACGAUUUCUUCUUUCGCUGUGUCGUUCGACUCGUCAAGGUUUUCUUCUUUCCUUUCUACUACAUGUGUGCGUGUUUUACUUUCAGUAUCUUCUACGUCAUGGUGUCUGCCUUGGUGAUCUUUUAAAUAUCUGUAUGUCGUGCUGAUCGUUUAAAAGUUUCGGAUAUGGUCGGGGGUUGUGUGUUGUUCGUUCUUGUGCUACUUAUAUUUUGUGUAUGCGUGCGAGCAGGAUGUGUACGCUGUUUCCGUUGUUAUACCUGGUAGCUCGAUGCGCUUUGCCGUCGCUUUCAUAUUUGUGUGUGGUCGCAGAGGAUGGCUCUGUUCUUCCUGGUGUAGAACUCGAGCUCCCAGUGGGAUAGUUCUGGCCCUAUGGAGAAGCUUGAUGAAGAAGCCGAGGCGCAGCUACUUUCAACCCUCAUGCUAUAUACCCAUAUAUACACAUGUCUCCCAGUUUUGGUUUUGUCUCACGCACGAGGCGAGUUCCGGUGGUAAAGCUGAAACUUCAUCGCUUACCGUUGAAGAAAAGGAUGAUAACAAUGACCAGGCUCAGAUGAUAACAAUGACCUGGGAGUUCUUUUGUGUACACUCAUGGUACUCUGAAUAAUUGAUGCAGAAUGAAGGGGCGAGCAUAAAAGAAAUGCAGAGCCAGUUUCCCUCGGAUGCAGUGUAUUAUUACACUGACUUUGAGGAUAGACAACAGUCUACUGGGGUUGGUUAUUGCAAUUAAAAGGUUUUACUAUAUAUCUUUCUUCCUAAGGCUUGGCUUGUCUAAUGCAUGCUCUUAGUUACAAGUUAUAUUGGUUAAUCUUGAUCAUUCCGUGAGUUAGAUCAAGUAACAACAAACUAAGUUGUAGUUCCUGUUGCUAUGACCUAGGCAAUGAACAACAGAUAUAGUUUGCCUCAUUUCUAAUGUUCCCUGUAAACAAUGUUGUGAAUAGAACAGCUUGAAUUGAUCACUGCUUAAAUAUGCACUGGAAUUCCUUUUUUUAGAUAUAAUUUCCUACAAUACAUUUGUUGCUUCAUAGAAUUUCGAUGGUUGCCUUCAGUAAUGUCAGCUAUUUAUAGUGGGUGUCUUUGCUAUGCCUAUUUUUUGCUGUAGUAGCCUAGCAAGCAUGGUUUAACCAUAGGCUUCCGGUUAUUCUAUGUUUUGGGUGUCAAAUAAAUAGGACAUUUUAGGCUAUGCCUAACAUUCUUUUCAUACUCUGCAAAUUAAUAGUCCAUUUAAAACCACAGGCUACUCCACCAAUGGUGAAAAUCCCCUACAAAAUGAUGCUGGAUCUCCUUUUAGAAUCUUUGGGCCUGCCAGAGGUUGAGUAUCGAACCAAAGUAUGUGUAUGCGAGGGUGGUACAAAGUUAUGAAGAACCCCAUUUUCGUUCAGAUAUGCACGCCUUUUUGUCAUCCGGAGUCUUUGCAUUUACGUUUAUAUUAUUGAUUCAGGUUUAGUUGUUUAGAUCAAAAUUGUAAUCUUGCGUGUAGAAUGGGCAGAUUAUUUCUCACUUUGAGGACUCUGUUUUGUUCAUCGGAUUUUUUUUUCCAGUGCCCCGAGAACUUGGCUUUGAUGUUCUUCCCAAAAUGAAUUGAAAUUACUAUGAUUCAUGCAAGUUACUUGGCAAAGAAAAUUGUUCUCUGCAUAGUGGAUACAUGUACUAUUUGGAUAGUGGAUACAUGUACAGAUCGUAGAUUCUUUUACUUAUCUGAGGCAAGUAUUCUAAUUUAUUUAGCAUGCACCUGAAAAUUAGCCUGAUAGUUUAUCAAUCUAUCAUUCAGAUGUGGCUAGGUUUUUCGGUUAUCCGAAAAGACACAUUAUAUUGUCUUUGUUUUUACAUAAAGAUGUAGAUGUUGAGAAGUAUAUUAUUUUGAUUGCUGAGUCGGUCUAUUGUGUAAGUUUGGGUUUUGUCUUUUGUGUGGACACAUUUGUAAAGAAGUGACAUGGCUUAUAUUAAAUUUUGUCAUUGUAUAGGGACUAAAGGUUGGAGAGCAAAUGACCCUAAAAAAAGGUUGGAGAGCAAAUGAGUUGUUGAAGUCCGAUGAGAUUAUAUAGCAGAUUGACUCUUUGUAGUGCUCGUUCAGAUGUAGGUCAGGCAUUAUACUGCCUUUGUUUUUUACAUCGAGGUGUAAAUGUUAAGAAGUAUAUUAUUCUUAUUGUCUUUACAGUAUGUGCAUGCUCAUAACUAAAACAACUAAUACAUGUUUUUGUAGAAUGUGCACAUGGAUUCAAAAAGAUACAUGUAUUUUCAGUGGCAUGAUUUUGAA